UUCCUUAUGCUCUCGUUUCUCUUAUUCUUUUCUUCUCUCUGAAAAGUGAAAAUUGAUUAUAUAAAAACAGAGAAUGAAUCUGUAUAGAUGAUGAGGGUGAUGGUAUAAUUGUUGAUGUACGAAGGAGAAUAAGUAGGAAUUUUAGGUUCUAUGUGUGAGUUAAUGAAUCAGGGAGAGAGUUAGGGUUAGGGUUUAUUCUUGUGGUGAAGAAAUCAUGAAAAGAUUAUGGAUCUGUUGAGAACCCCGGUGAUUCAUGGUGGUGCUGUUAAAUCAAGUGUUGAUUCAACUCAGCAGAAAUGUCUCUCCCCGCAUCGACACAGAUAAGGAAACAGGUGCUGAUAGAUGCCGUUAGAACUGCAGAUAAGGACUCAGGGGCGCCAUUUUCCUGUUUUGUGUAUACGCUGACUAUAAAAUUACCAAGUUAUUGCUAUUUUUCCUUGCUGAAAAGUUCAAACUUGGUUGUAUAAUUUGUUAUCUUUGUAGACAAUACACGAGCAUGCUGAAUAUGGUCUUGAAGCAACUUGGCUUAAUAAAGAAUACGAGAAUACGGUGCCACAGUCAAAGGAUAUACAUGUACUCAAGGCUGACCCAUCUUUUUUCCAGUCCAAAUGACUAGAGAAUGAAACUGAUAUGAAUGACGACACUGAUGAUAUUUGCAAGUGUAGGUCCUUUGAAAAGAGGAUGUAGGUUAAUUUUUGCAGUGUAGAUAACAGUGUCGAUAGAUGCUUAUGGAUGUGAGCAUAUACACCCAUAAUCAUAAGUGGUGUAGAUGGGAAACAUAUGCAGAUCUCCACAAAAAGGUUUAUUAUUUUUUCCAUUCAAAUGGGUAACGAUGGUUUGCUCCAGAGAUGGUGAUUGGUGUACUUGCCCAGAAAGGUACAUACUUUCUUUAAAGAUGCUUAAGAUCUUAAGCUCAAAGGCCAAUUCAAUACUAGAGAAGUUGAAUCAAAUGCUAUAUAUGGUUGUACGAGGAGGAGGAGCAGUUCAAAAAGCAGGUUGAGCACUUAAGAAAGAGGUUUAUCCACUUUAUUGCUCCAGGGAGGGCUUGCCGGUGAUAUACAGUGUGUAGUCCCAGCUUCAGGAUUUGGUUUUAGUGCACAACAGAUAUAUAAUGGUUGCAACUGUUCGUUGUGAAGGGAUUGCCAAUAAAAAGAUGUCACUUGACCUCAGAUAAGUUGGCGACUUUAAUUUAAUUGGGCAGUUUGGAGUUGGGUUUUAUUGUCUAUCUUGUUGCCGAUUAUGUCGAAUUCAUUAGCAAGCAUGAUGAUCACAAACAGUACAUAUGGGAGUCUAAGGCUGAUGAAAAGAUUUUGUUAUUUCUGAGGAUGAAUUGAAUAAAUCACUAGGACGAGGAACUGAAAUUAGGUUGCACCUAAGCUGGGGAGUUUGGGAGGAAGAUAAACUUAAAGUUGUAUGAUCUAAUUGGUGUCUGCGGAUGAUGUAACCAAGGAAGUGGAUAUUGAAGAUGACAGCGAGGAUGACAGCGAAGCUGAAUCAUCUGAAAGGAGUUUCAUAGAGGGUAAAGAAGUAGAGGAAGAUGGUAAUCUUCCUGGAUGUUUUCUCCGAGCUCAAGCCAUUGGUCUCAUGCCUAUAAUCGACCAGAUGCAGAUCAGUGUUGUUGGCUGGUUAAUGUUAAUACGGUACUUAUACAAGGGAUCUGUAUAUUCAUGUUGGCUGGCCUCUAUAUCGAAGAUAUGGGCAUGCAUUUGAGGCAUUCAAGUUGAUUGUGGCUGAUCCUGAUACCAAUCCAAGCUUGCACUGAAGCAAUAGAUAGCCACAAGGAUAAACUGGUAGUAAAGGAGGCACCAAGAGAAGUGAGUAUUAACUUUCUUGAAAUCAAUAUUAAAACCUAGUGCAACAUAUAUCGUAAGAGCUAUGUAACAUGUGGUUGUGUAAACACUUUUAUUCAUUUUAGUAAACAACUAUGGAGUAUGAAUUAUGAAACUGAAUUUGAAUGCUAUUGAGCAAGCACGAUGACAACUUUUCCAGCAUAGAAUGAAUGUAAAAGAGUGUUUAGGUACUUAUCAGAAUUUGAUACUUAACAGGAUCUUUUUUGGUACUUA